ACGCGGGCUUCACCCCCAGGUUGCACUGCGCGCGGGGCUCCAUUGUACGGGGGAGCAGGUCUGCAGCUCUUGGACUGAUUGUGCGUAAUUGCCAGGCGUCAACACUAACAGCCACUUCAAGUCCUAAAAACCCCGCUCCUCUGUGUCUCUGCCUCCUCUGUCUACCUGUUCUGAUCGGGAGGUCAAUUGAACGUAUCGGACACGCGGACAGCUGCCACGCAAACAGACUUUGUGGCGCAUUUGAAGAUACUUUAGUUUACCCACCCUGAUAAGAAAGGAGGUGAGGAGAUGAAAAACUGCAGUGUCAUACCAAAUGACUAAUUACUGUGGCAGUAGCACGGUUUUGACGCUCAUGAAGACGGUUGGGAAGAACAUUAAAGCCAGAAACAAAGAGGUGACUUUGUAUCCAAAUAACCUGUCUGACUCCUCGCCUGACUACUUUUGUAUAGAUUGUUCAUUGGAUGAUGUGCCUCGCUUCCUCUCCAAAGCUAUAAACUCAAAGGAAACUUGGAAUUCACAAUAUAAAGUAAA